rnacentral:lncRNA from 1 species
UGAUUUUUGAAGCUGAGCUACCACUAUCAUGAUUCAGAGCAACCAUUUUCAUGAGCUCCAAAUCAUGACCAUGAAAAGCGUUACGCACACGGUGCACCUGUCAAAACGUGUUUAGCAAAGCUUGUGCAAAGCAUAGUUGGCUGCGCAUUCACGGAAAAGUUGCCCUUUUUUUUUUAAAAAAAAGUUCACUUUUAUUGCCGGUUUCCUGCGCCGCUGUUGCUCUACUGUCGUUCCUGCUCUACUAUUCCGUUCCUGCUCCGUUGAUAUCGAGCUAUUCCGGCUCUGCAGAACUACCGCCGUUUCAUUCUGUUCCUUUCCUGCCGUGGCUGUUGCCCGUUCCGGCUCCUGUGUACCCGUUCCGGCUCCGCAUUGAGGGAAAAUUCUUCCGGCUCCGCUCUACUAACUACCGCCGUUUUAUUGUCCCAGUGCCACUGUCGCCAUUCCCGCCGCGGCUGUUGCCGUCCAAUAGGUGCAUCCGUUCCGGCUCCGCAUUGAGUGACCAGCUCCGCCCUACCAACUACCGCUCCCGAUUUUGUUGCCGUUCCGAACGUUUCGUUUUCAGCCUUGGCUGGUUCCGCCCAGUAGGUGUUCCCGUUCCGACUUACCCCAAAAACUACCGGUAAGUGUUACAAAAUGAAUCUAUUUUUGCAUCUGCAAUGGAAAUCAAAUGCUGACCACUUUCCACCGCCUUCUAAUUCGUAAUUAGCUUCCAUUUCCAUUGCUGUUUUGGGUGCCCCAUUCCCACUCCUACUAUCCUGUCCAUAAUCAUAUAGUCGACGUAAGCACUACUGUAGUUUUCAACACAAUCUCUGUUGUCUAGCAACAAAUAAUACAAAUUUAAAUAUUUUUAUCAGGCAGACAUUCAAUCUGCCGCUCCACACAUAAUUGUCCCAUGUUAGUUUUUGACUCUUUCUUUCUGUCUCGACGUUCCUACUAAAAUUUGGCCUGCCUCUUCA